rnacentral:rRNA from 1 species
AUUGAACGCUGGCGGCAGGCCUAACACAUGCAAGUCGAGCGAGCGGCGGACGGGUGAGUAAUGUAUGGGAAACUGCCCGAUGGAGGGGGAUAACUACUGGAAACGGUAGCUAAUACCGCAUACCAUCGGAUGAACCCAUAUGGGAUUAGCUAGUUGGUGGGGUAACGGCUCACCUAGCCGACGAUCCCUAGCUGGUCUGAGAGGAUGACCAGCCACACUGGGACUGAGACACGGCCCAGACUCCUACGGGAGGCAGCAGUGGGGAAUAUUGCGCAAUGGGGGCAAGCCUGACGCAGCCAUGCCGCGUGAAUGAAGAAGGCCUUCGGGUUGUAAAGUACUUUCGGUAGCGAGGCGUUAACGACAGAAGAAGCACCGGCUAACUCCGUGCCAGCAGCCGCGGUAAUUC